rnacentral:rRNA from 1 species
UGGGGAAUAUUGCACAAUGGGCGAAAGCCUGAUGCAGCAACGCCGCGUGAGUGAUGAAGGCCUUCGGGUUGUAAAGCUCUGUCUUUUGGGACGAUAAUGACGGUACCAAAGGAGGAAGCCACGGCUAACUACGUGCCAGCAGCCGCGGUAAUACGUAGGUGGCAAGCGUUGUCCGGAUUUACUGGGCGUAAAGGAUGCGUAGGCGGAUUUUUAAGUGAGAUGUGAAAUACCCGGGCUUAACUUGGGUGCUGCAUUUCAAACUGGGAAUCUAGAGUGCGGGAGAGGAGAAUGGAAUUCCUAGUGUAGCGGUGAAAUGCGUAGAGAUUAGGAAGAACACCAGUGGCGAAGGCGAUUCUCUGGACCGUAACUGACGCUGAGGCAUGAAAGCGUGGGUAGCAAACAGGAUUAGAUACCCUGGUAGUCCACGCCGUAAACGAUGAGUACUAGGUGUAGGAGGUAUCGACCCCUUCUGUGCCGCAGUUAACACAAUAAGUACUCCGCCUGGGAAGUACGAUCGCAAG